CCUCCUGAACAAUAAAUGGCUUACUUGGCAAAUUGACAAGCAAAAUUCUAUUUGGCUGUCAAUCCCAAAACAUGAUCCCUCAACCUGAAGAUCUUAUCCUAUGAAAUGUGCAAGGUCACUGGAAUAUGUGCUUUAAUUUAAUGUGUGAAGAUGGUGGUUAUACAUAAAUAUAACUGAUAUAGAGAUAAUUGUCUAUUUUUUACAAAUGAGUGGUAAUUGUAAGCCAAAGUAUUAAAUGCUGAGAUCAAGUUAAAGAAGGGGGAUGCUGACUGAGGAAUCAGCAGGGUUUGCACAAAAGAUGGCCCAUGCCCGAGCCUAGUGAAUCUUUUUUUUUUUUCUUUUUUUUUUUAAUAUUCCUUUUUGAGUUCUGUACAAAGCAACAUGUGAGGUUUACUUGGGCUAACAUGUUUUUAAAUACAUGCGGUGUAAAAGAGAGAAAAGAUUUCUGCUGUGCAAAGCAACCAUGCUGAAAUUUUGACACCUUGUUGUAUGUUGUGUUUGUGUUUGUUUCUUUGAUGUUCGAUGCCAAAAGGGGGUGUGGUUAAAAAGAAAGCUUUAAGAUUAGAGCAUUAAUAGAGCUUUUACAUCAUCUGAAAUGUUAACUUCUUUUUAAAGGCUGGUUUCCUGUUGCGCGAUUAAGUCUAAUCCUUUAACUAAAACCGUCUUUCAUGGAUGAGGGCUGUAUGGAAGUACUGUAUGUUUUGAACCCAGAUUUGGUUUAAUCUGUGAUGGCAAGGCCAAUCUCUUAUCAAAUGUACCAAGUUGCUUGCAGAGGAGCAGUCUGGGUUUUAGCAGCAUAUUAGUAACAUAAACCAGUACAUUGUCUGGCAGAGCUAUUAUUGGAUGAUAUAUAGGCUAGUUUGGCUCUGUGACACAACACACCAGACUUUUCAAUCCUCUCACUGUUACACUCAAGUAGCGAUAGGGAGAAAAUGUAACCUUGCUGGCUCUGUGAUCCUCUUCCUGUGCCACCACUAGUUCCUUACUCUGCUGUCAUUUAAACGGACUGGAUUUAGAAAUGCAUAUGUAUCGAGAUAAUAGCAAAUCCUGUCCUCGUCGUUUGGUGUUUUGGCUUAUGUUGUGAAUGUGAACAUCUGUCAAAGCUUCAGAAGUGAGGGAGCUUUAUGUAGCUUUUUGACAGUUUGAUUGGGGAAAAGAGAUCAGUUCUAUCUUCACUGUGUGGAACAAGAUAAAUGGCUUCAUCUAGCAGUUUUCACGACUAAGUGCACACAAAACACGUAACUGUUUGAGCCUCAGAUACAAUGUCAAACUUACUUCAAAUGAGGAAAAAAUAGGAGGAACAUUGUAAGGCCUAUAUUUUUCUUAAGGUAUCAGUAACUUUGUAUACAAUCCACAAACCGGUUCUACUUCAUCUAACUUCACCGUCCUACCUCAUUGUUACUCUGGUGUUUGUUUGUCAGUGACUGUAAACUAUUUGUGUAUAUUAAAAAAAAAUCUAUAGGAAAGGUAUACCUGGUUACUCUCAAAUUGUACAGCAAAAUAAACUUGUAAAACACCUCAGUACACAAUAUCAUUCUGAGGAGAAAUCAGUUUUAUUACCUGCUUAAAGAUGCUGCUGUAAAGGGGUUGUCUCUGAAUAUAUAUCCUCGCUCUUUGCUAUGUUGUGCAGUUGAUCAGUGGUUGUGUUCUGUCUCUGUAUUGCAUUCUGAGAUUUUUACUGGUUGACGGGUGCUACCAGCAAACAGUUCAAAAACUGAUCUGUCUAUCGGACCUCAAAUGGUGCUGUUUUUCUAUGUUUUUAUCCUCAUUCAGCUAUGUUUUAUUCAGGUGUGUCAACCGCCAUUAUCCCCUCAGCUAAUCAAAUUUUAAGCCAAAAUAUUUUGCAAACAAUAACCCUGCUAUUACUGUAUUAACUAUAUGCUAUCUACCCAAAUAUUGUAGAUAGUGAUUAUAUCCUCAGCUGUGAGUUUCAGAAGUACCUCAUAACUUGCUGAUUUUUAAUAGAUGCAUCUGCUUCUAGCACCUGUUGUCGACCAACAUCACAUUGUUGCAGUGUAUUUUCAGAAAUAUGCAUUUUUACUGGUUAGAUCAGGUUUCACCAUACAUAGGACAUGAUUAUUAGAUCACACUCAGACGACCGAUAAAUUCAAACGAUACCACGUGUCAUAAAAGGAAAUCUCAGUUGGACUGGGCAGCAUCUGAAACAGUAGAAGAGGUCCUCAGCAAAACAAUAUUCUGUUG